rnacentral:misc_RNA from 1 species
GAUGAAGAACGUAGUGAAACGCGAUAGUUAAUGUGAAUUGCAGAAUUCAGUGAAUCAUCGAAUCUUUGAACGCACAUUGCGCCCCUUGGUAUUCCAUGGGGCAUGCCUGUUCGAGCGUCAUUUGUACCUUCAAGCCUUGCUUGGUGUUGGGUGUUUGUCUCGCCUCUGCGCGCAGACUCGCCUCAAAACAAUUGGCAGCCGGCGUAUUGAUUUCGGAGCGCAGUACAUCUCGCGCUUUGCACUCAGAACGACGACGUCCAAAAGUACAUUUUUACACUCUUGACCUCGGAUCAGGUAGGGAUACCCGCUGAACUUAAGCAUAUCAAUAAGCGGAGGA